UACGUAGGUGGCAAGCGUUGUCCGGAAUUAUUGGGCGUAAAGCGCGCGCAGGCGGCCUCUUAAGUCUGAUGUGAAAUCUUGCGGCUCAACCGCAAGCGGCCAUUGGAAACUGGGGGGCUUGAGUACAGAAGAGGAGAGUGGAAUUCCACGUGUAGCGGUGAAAUGCGUAGAUAUGUGGAGGAACACCAGUGGCGAAGGCGACUCUCUGGUCUGUAACUGACGCUCAUGCACGAAAGCGUGGGGAGCAAACAGG
rnacentral:rRNA from 1 species